AGCACCCAUGGGACCUCCCUGGAACCACACAGGCCAUGGGUGAGUAAACAAGAGGCGCUUGAACCUGGAGCCCCCCGGCCUGAACCUGGAGCUGUUCUUACCGAACAAAUAUUAAUCAUGGCAAUUGGGAAAUAACUGAGCACCAACCCUGGCCCAGGCAUUCAACAUCUUGCCAUCCUGAGGUGGUGGCUGAUGCCUGGAAUCCCAGCACUUUGGGAGGCCGAGGCAGGUGGAUUGCUUGAGCCCAGGAGUGCGAGAACAGCCUGGGCAACAUGAGCUUCCUCCUCCCACAGACUCCUCCCAUCUUCCCAGAGGAAUUCAGCCCAUUUCACAGAAGAACAAACAAAGGCACCAAGGGAAAAACACACACACAGUUAAAUGAGGGUAAUGGAUUUGGGGAAGGAAGACCACAGAGGUGAAGCACCCAUCUCAUCACACCAUAUCAAAGGCCCAGCGAAGCCUGCAUUUCUCCCAUCUGCGACAUGGAGGCCAGAGUGGGCCUGACCGCAGGGUCACUGGGGAUUCCAUGGAAGCUGUCCCCACCCGCAGGACCAGGAGGUACAUGCCAAGUCUCCCAUCACAGAAAGAAGAGAGGCCACAGCCAAGUGUAGUCACAGUUUAUUUCUGAUGUGGCUGAAUCUAGGGACAGGCGGGCUGGGCUGAGUGGGGGGCGUGUCGGCGAUGGGGCUAGAACUCCACCUUGCAGGCCGGGAAGGCGUCAUCCUGCAUGGACACCAUGCUGUUGCUGCCCAACACCGUGAUGCCCAGCGCCUGGUGCCGGGCGUGCGUCUCUGCGUACCACGUAUGCAUGGCCACCGAGUCGAAAGUGGGGAUCAGGGUCACCUGCAGGUCACGGUCCCAAUGCUGCUUGCUGGCCAGUAGCGCGUCCAGGACGGCCCGCAUGCCUUCCUCCUUGCGCUGGUCCUGGCCACUGAUG